AGUAAUCUUACAAGACAUGUGGAAUAUCAGUCUCCGUCAGCCAUCAUGAAGCACUAUGUGAUUAUAACGGUUUCAUAACAGAGGCAAUUCCAUGCUCAGUACCUGGUUAUGCAUGCUUUGUGCAUGGCACCUUUUGUAUUUUCAUUUAAAUCUUUGUUAAGGCUCAUGUUGUCAGUAUUGUUUAGGAGUAUUUGUACUUGGGUGCCAUGCUGGUGCAGUGGGAAAUGCUGUUGCCUCACAGCAAUGGGCUCCAGCCCCCACCCUCCGCCCUCCACGACCCUGACAAGGAGCAAGCGGUUUAGAAAAUGGAUGAAGUAUUUGCAUUGCAGUUCAAAUUUUCUUCAUUAUACUGAUGAGGCAGCAGGGGCCUCUUCUUCAGCGAGUCCCGGGGGGCUGCGGAUGCCGCCCCCCGCGCGCGUUCUGGAAGGAGGACGUCCCGCUGAGAGACAGAGGAGAGCCCGGGAGCCAGGCUGAUCAGCAUGCGACUCGCGGGGGCCUCUCACGGCUCCUUUCAGCACCGCCUUUCAGGAGCGGGGCGGUCCCCAGCGGCCUCCGAGGGGCUUCCUGAAAGGCGUGGCGGGACCUCGGUCGCUCAGGGAGGGGUAUUUCGUCCUCCGGUUGCGUCAGCAUUCGAUUACUUCCUUAUCACAAUGCCGCAGAGCGGGCCUUCUUUGUCUCGACCGGUCCUGUGGGUAACGUCAGUAAAGCCCUGUGGCUAAUCCUGCCGACAACUUUUUUCAUUCUGUCUUUCUUUACUGGAAUGCUGCUUUCAGGAUCGCUGGAUGGAUUCACACACACACGUUUUAUCUUGGAGAGUGAUGGGGAAAAAGCUUGAGUCCCUUGUUUUUUGGUACGGUGUGAAGACAAGUUGCUAGUCACCACUCGGCUGGAAUGCUGUGUAUUUCUCCGCGUUGUCUUGUGCCAGAGUGAAUAACAAAAUGGCUUCAAACUGACCCAUGUCCCCAACCCCCUUAAGGAUGACAGGUGCCAGCAGAACAUUGCCUGUACCUGUAAGAUUUCUGUGUAUAAGAACUUGGGCAUAUGCUGUACAUUUGCUGGUGGGGGAUUAUAAUUCAAAAGACAUGGGGUAUUUGGUAAUGCACAACAUUUCCCUCUCCAUUCUCCCAUAAAAAAUGUGAUGCCGUUCUGGAAACCUGAAAUUCACCAGGGAAUGUACUCCCAUUAAAAAGCAAUCUAAUUCUUAUUUCCUGCCUGUAGGAAAGUAAGGUC